GGAAUGUGGAAGAAGAAUACAGAGGAGGUAUCAGGUUGAUUUUCCUUUUCCUGUUGAGCUGCUCCUGUGUCAGAUUUUCAUCUCCAGAGUGGUGCUGCAAAUCAGCUGAAGGCAGCAGGAUUUGCCUCUGCUCUGCAGAGCCCUGGGUAUCCGUGCACAUGUGAGUAAUCCCAUUGGAAUCAAGGACUUGCAGGAGGAGCGGGCACAUGAGUAGUGUUUUGUAGAUACAAGGACUGGAAUCUGGGCCACAUGGCUCAGGACAAAGAGACAUGUCAAUUCUGCAUAAAUAACACAGGCACUCGGCUUCCAAACUUCAACCUACUUAGCAAGUGCCAGAGUCACUCUUUCCAUCCCACGUCUCGGGAAGCAGGACCAGGACAGCAGGGUGACCUUCGCAGGAGCUGGGAUGAGCCCAGGGUGCUCCUGGCACCCAGGAGAGCCACAAGAAAGCAGCAGGAUCCCCAUGCUGCCAUGGAACAGAAACCUGCUCUCAGCUGGCAUUGCCUUUGAAAUGAAGUGCUGGAAUCUGCCCCAACACAUGGAGGAAGAAAUUUCUAUGCAGGUUGUGGGUGAGACCUGGGAAGAGGCCUCAGGUCAGCAGUGUCCCUCACCCAGGCAUGGCCUGACCAUGUUGUCCCAAAAAAAUCACUCCUUGUUGGACUGCCUGGUGGUAACCACUUUACUAAUGGUGGUUUGGGCAAAGAAAAUUAGUCUAUUUUUGCUAAUGGGUUCAGCACCACUAUUCUGGUCUCCAGUGCUGUCCAUCUUCCUCCAGCCCCACCCACAUUCUGCCUCCUCCUUGCUUGUGGCCCCCACCUGGUUUUUAGGUUGUGGACACAUAAGUGAUGGAAUUGCCUCUUGGUGCAGGUGCAGGAUGGAGAUGUGGGGGUGGUGGAGAGCCAUGUCCCACAGAUCAGACACUGCCAGGACAGACACUGUCUCCAUCCAAGACAAAUCCCACCCUGGAAACAGCUGCUGCUGACAGCAGCUCCCACCUUCCUGGUGGUGGUGGAUGCCAAGUCCAUGGUGCCCUCUGCCACGCUGACCAUGUGAUAUCGAGAGAGAGGGAGCAAGGGGAGAUGCCUGUCUGAUAUUUGGGAUUGCUUUAUUAUACCUUUGCCUUCUUAAUUUUUUUUCACAACAUCCAUUACCUGUUGUAAUUCACAAGGCAAAUGUGACCAACCUUAAUUCCUGCUGAUUUUGCAAGUGCCUCAGAGAGAGGUGGGACUCCCAAGAAGUACUGAGGAGAGCAGGCUGCUGAGGGCUGAGGAAUGGCAGCAAUGCCCACAUGUUUUCUGUUUGUGACACCGUGGCUGAUGGGAAUCAUUUAAUCACACAGUGGGACCGGUUCACUCUACCUUUACACCAGUCCUUAAGAUGUUUCCCUUAUCUGUGACUUUCUGCAGACGGCUGGGGUUUUCCCUGCCCGGUUCCUCUGUCACCUACAGAUGGCUUUCAGUGCUUAAUCCUUGGGAAAUGUGAGUUUCUCCAUGACUCAGCCACAGUUUCCCUGCUUGGCUGUCACACAGUGUUUCAUCUUUUCACUUCUCAGUCCCCAUCUGUACAAGAGGUCAGUAACAAGAGGAAAACAAGCAUAGCAGGGCCAGCUACCCACAGAUCCCCAAGUGUUGAGGGGCCAUAUAAUUUCUUAAAUGAAUUGGUCACAUGAUACUCAUGAUACUCUUUUUUUUCUUUUUCCUCCUUUACUGGGUAAUUGAAACUUCAUAGACAUUAAGAAUCUGAAACAUGCGUAACAGUUCUUUAUGUACAAACAGCUUUUUCUCUGCAAACUGAGGGGUUUGUGGGGAAGAGAGUUCUGUGAACACUGGAGCAAGCAAGCACCUGUUUUCCACAAGUGUUACAAUUCCCACAGCUGGCAGGAACAGUUGAUGUUCAGGGUAUAAAUGCAAAUUUUCCAUCUCUGCAUCGCAGGAUUAUCUGCGCUGUCCCCAGUUAAACCUCCUCACCAAAUAUAUAACUAAAUCUUUCCAAAUGACCAUGCCCUGCUCCCUCUAACAAGUUCUGCCUUCAUCUGGCCUAACUUCUGCUCAAAUCUUUGCAUCUCCUAUAGGCUCAACACUUGAAGACCUCAAUUAAUCUCCUAGACUAGGAAGUCUCCAACUAGAGGAGACAGGAGGCCCAAGAACAUUUGUGGAUGAAUUGUCCUCUGGGUCUUAUUGAAUGGGAGACACAUGGCCAUCAGAUUGGCACCAUGCCAAUGGAAACGUCCCUUCUGAACCCAGGGUGUGUAAUUUGACCUUGUAAAUUCAGUAACAUGGGAAGCAAUUACACAGAAAUCCAAGCUCCAGCAGGCAAGGCUGCACUCUGCUGCUCUUGGGCGAAUGACACGCAGUGAAAGUCAGGACUGAGCUGAUGCUGAGCUGGCAGCAGUCCUCAGUCCUCUGGAAUUCAUGUCCUGUCUUCAGAAAGGAGGAAUAAUAUAUAAAAACCUCUUCUGGCUACCAGUUCCACGCUGCCACUCAGCCCUGACCCGUUAUUUGGGAAAUUGCUACUUGAGAAAGGAAAAGAUAAAUCAGUGUACGUUGGAAAAACAACUUGAAACUCUGGCUCAAGGCAGGGAAUCGGAGGAGAGCAGACUCCAAACUUUUCUGCUAGUUUAGUAAAACAGUGUGAUAUGAUCUAUUAAGCAGGGGAAGUCAAAGACAAACUGCCCUGCAGGCAUUGCUGGGCAACAUGAAGAGACACCUGGGAAGAGACUUUCUGGCAGAAAGAACUGGGCUCAAGGAGGUAGAAGUGAUCCUUUCUUAGAUGUUAUUUUCCUUAACUACGUUCAGCACCAUCUGAUGGAGCUCACUGAUCACACCAUCAUGCUUCCCACUGCGGGGAGAUCGUGUGUUACAGACCCUUGAACACGGAGAGCUGCUGCUGGAAGAGAGCUGCUGCUGGAAGCCAAGAGAGCAGCUGGGAAAACACCACAGCCAAGGCAGCUCUGCACAGGCACCACCAGACAGGGUCUGGACGUGGAGACCCAGCCUCCAAUGACCCUGCACCCCACUCCAGGGACAACACAGCAUCACAUCAUGGCAGGAAAGCUGAUUUUGGGGAAAUGGAAAUAACACCAGCACAAACCACUCCCCGCUGAAUUGUUCAUGGACCUUCAGGCACCAUCAAAGUCAGGAGCACAGCAGGUUCGUGGCCAAAUUCACUCACUCCAUUCUCACACUGGAGAUGGGGGAGGGUCAGCAGUAAAGAGAUAUUAUCCUGUGUUUGAAGGAAACACUCAACCAGAGACCUAUUUUUCUUUCUCUAAGAGAGUAAAUUGGCCAUGGCUGCAAAUGAACUGCGGGGAUCCACUACAAACCCGGAUAAAAAAAUAAUUUUAUUUCAUUGCAAUCAGAAAUUUCAGAAUUUAGGGGGCAGAAAGUAUUGAUUUAAAUAAUCACACCAUUUUAUAUACUUAUACUUAAAAGUGUCUGCCUGUAAAUAUGGAAACAAAGGACAUUAUUAAUUUUAAGGAGAACAUAAGAGUCUAAGACUCAGGAAGACUUCUGGUUCUCUGAAACUCCUAAGUGGUCAACUAAAUAUCUUUUAAACUCUGGCCUGCCUUCAUUUUUGCAGGUGGCAGAGAUGUUUUACUUGUUUCUCAUGCCCAGACUUCACCCUUCAGUGCUCCACUUGCUCCCUGCACACCUUGAGUCCUGGCUGUCACUCUUUGCCUCUGUGUCCUGAGCCCCUCUGAGCAGUUUUCAUGUCUCUGGGCUGCAGUGUCUCUCUGUGUUUCAUAUCUGAACCUAUCCCUUCCCUUCCAUAUCUGCACUUAUAAAGUAUCUCUUCUUUUCUGGUAUUACUUACUCCUAAUCACUCUAUAAUUACAUUGUGGAGCCCUGUCAAGCUCCCAGGAACAAAGCUCAUAUGAAGGAUGCAAAAAUGGACCUCUGUCUCAGGGCAAAUUGUGCUGUGGCAGAGAUGAGGAAGUUGUUUGAUCAUUAGCCUUAUCUAGAACAAAUUGCACAUAAUAACUUUUAAUAUUUUCUAUCAGAUUUGGUUCCUCAGACAGACACAAUUUUUUUUUUAAAUUAAGCUGUACUUAACUGAAUCAUCUAAGUAUAUCUGAGUCCCCAAAAUAAGAUACUUAAAUGUGCAUUAAGAAAUAAACAAAUCACUGGUUCACUGAAUGUGGCCCUU
ensembl:lncRNA